AUCUGUUGGAGAAGAUCCUGCAGGGC
rnacentral:piRNA from 1 species